rnacentral:rRNA from 1 species
AUUGAACGCUGGCGGCAUGCCUUACACAUGCAAGUCGAACGGCAGCACGGACUUCGGUCUGGUGGCGAGUGGCGAACGGGUGAGUAAUAUAUCGGAACGUGCCUAGUAGUGGGGGAUAACUAGUCGAAAGAUUAGCUAAUACCGCAUACGACCUAAGGGUGAAAGUGGGGGAUCGCAAGACCUCAUGCUAUUAGAGGGGCAGAUAUCAGAUUAGCUAGUUGGUGGGGUAAAAGCUCACCAAGGCGACGAUCUGUAGCUGGUCUGAGAGGACGACCAGCCACACUGGGACUGAGACACGGCCCAGACUCCUACGGGAGGCAGCAGUGGGGAAUUUUGGACAAUGGGGGCAACCCUGAUCCAGCAAUGCCGCGUGUGUGAAGAAGGCCUUCGGGUUGUAAAGCACUUUUGUCAGAGAAGAAAUCUGUUGCGCUAAUAUCGCGACUGGAUGACGGUAUCUGAAGAAUAAGGACCGGCUAACUACGUGCCAGCAGCCGCGGUAAAAC